AUUAUGAAUAAACCUACCCUCUCUUGUUCAUUGUCAUCCCGCUCCGCUAUAUAUAUAUAUAUAUAUAUAUAUACGCUUCAUCUCCAAACCUCGCCUCACACUAUUUACGCUCAUCAGAGAUAUAUACAUAUUUUCUCAUCAUCUCUCUGCUAUACAUACACACACGCAUAUAUAUAUAUAUAUAUCUCCAUCUUCAUCUUCAAGUUUGAUCAGUUCGUAAUUCCUUCCCAAGUUUGAUUCUUGGAGCUGCACAGAGUUGAUCGGACAGGAAUCGAUCAGCCCAAGCUGGUGGAGAAUUAUUAAAUAUAUAUAUAUAUAUAUAUUAUAAUAUAUUAUAAUGAUGAAUCAGAGGGCCGGGCGUGGUCCAAAGCUGGAUUUGAAGCUGAACCUCUCGCCGCCGAGGGUGGUGGCGAUGGAGUCACCGAAGAGGUCGACGUCGACGUCGACGUCGACAACGAGGAGUAUGGAAAUGUCGCCGACGAGCUCGUGCUUGUCGACGGCGGAGGCGAGCCCCGCGGAGGCGAAGACGAUGAUGCUGAUGGGGUGCCCGCAGUGCCUGAUGUACGUGAUGCUGUCGUCUGAGGAUCCCAAGUGCCCCAAGUGCAGGGGCACUUUCUUGCUUGAUAUUCUCCAUGAUCAACACCUCACCAACAAGAUCAAAUGAUGAAGAGAACAACCAAAUUAAUCGUCGUCGUCGUCGUCGUCGUCAUCAUCAUAUAUUUUAUGCCUGCUGCUGCUGCUGCUGCUAGAACUAGAUAUUAAUUAGGGAUAGUCAGGAGGCUUCUACUUAAUUAAUUAGUCUCUAGCCCUUGUUAGCUUAAUUAGUUGUCCUUCUGCCCCUUCUCCUCCUCCUCCUCCUCCUCUUCUCUUCUCUUCUCUUGUCUCCUUUCAUCUUACAUAUCGUGUUUGGUUCCCGAGAAAAAUUUGAGAUGGGGAAACAACGUCUUGACUCCUAAUGAUGAGCUUGGUGAGCAGCUUAUUUUAA